ensembl:lncRNA MAN2A1-DT MAN2A1 divergent transcript
UGCUAGUGAAUCCUUCAUUACUCUAAUCCUCUAUUAUAGUUAACAAUUCUUUUUAUUAAGCCUUCCCUGUCCCGGGAGUAGUCCCAAGAAAUAGACCUGCAAAGAUGGGAUUAAAGGUCAGUUUGAUUGAGGUUUUGAGCUUUAGCUCCUUGCCAAAGGGAAAUGUAAUUCAUGACAUGCUGGGCAUCUCAAUUAAGCAAUUACCUGUGGUUGAUCCUGAUGAAGUGCCAACUGAAGCCUGUGCCUUGGGGCCCCAAGUGGCUGCUACACUUGACUGCUAUGGUUAUAAAGAUGACUAGAAAGACUGGUGUGGGAUGGAUUCUUUUGCGUGCUUUUGAGUGGUUAUAAAGAGAAAUGACAAGCACAGGUUUUUUAACUCUCAGAGUUAUGGUAUGAGAACCAGAGAUAUUCUGCAGAAUUCCAAAAGCUCUGGUUUAUUGUAGCAACAAGAAUUAUGCUGAGAAUCAAACAAAAUUUUAAUUUUCAUGUUACUGAAUUAUAACUGCUAUUAAAUUCACACAUAUUCUG